AGAUAGUUCCCUUUCCCCACUAAAAGAAACUUGUGAAAUGGAGAAAGAGAGACCUUUCCUGGUAUAUCCAGUACGAAAACCGACGAUACUGCGCGAGAAGAAAGAAUUACCAAGGGACCAUCACCGGCUUCUAUUCUUCUGUCUCUUCAUCAUAAAUUUGGCUGCCUUACUGAAGAUCUAUCAAUCUAACCAGUAUUUGAACAAACUCACCGUCAUUACACAAAACUUCAGAUCAGACAUAGACAAACUUGCCAUCCACCAUCGACUGUUACUUACCAAGCUACAACAACUCGUCAGGCAAUUCAAUUUUAAGGACGUUGUGAAAACCUUUAAUACUACCAGCGAUGGAACAUGAGGGAUUCCGAGUGUAUGUAACUGAAAGAAGUUGGAAACUGGAUUAUCAUAGAGUGCUUCAAAGGACGAUGUCGGUGUUUGCUUUUUAAAUCAUUGAGGAUUGUUCUUUUCGUCUUUUGUGGUGCGAAACGCUAUGGUUCAACUUUUGUAGUUAAGAGCCAAUGCAUGUGAAAUAUAGAUGUAUCGUCAAUAAUUUAUCUGUGAGUCGAUGUGUAAUUUCAAAUAUGGACCACUGUUUGAAAGUGAAAGGCGCAAGAAGAUAUUUUCACUAUGCAUAUUCUUCAAUUUUUAUUACACAAAAUGAAAAGUUUUGUGAUAAAUGACUCAUUUCCUGAGAAUAACCUGACUGUAACCUCUGUGUUACCCAUCUUAUUCAUUGUGUUUGUGAAACAAAAAUCAUCAUAAAUUUCCUCUAACGUAUAGAAAACCAUUGAAAUAAUGUGUACGUACACGAAUGAAUGAAUUUGUUAUCAAUACUUUCAGCUUCGGACUGGUAGUGCCAAAAUAUCCAGAAAUUCCAACAAAUGUAAACAGUUCAGAUAUGACAACGAAAGGCAAAGCUUGUCCACUUUUGGUCACAACAAAAUAGUAAUCAUACAAAUCACGCUUCUUGUAAUUAAGUUUCAAAUCUACAGAUUUACAUCUUUGCAUAUUAUAUAGAAUAUGUUCAAUGGAAUAUGGCAGAAGUAUGUAAAUGCAACGAAAUCUGCAGAAUUGUUUUACUCACAAUUAAAUGUACAUUCUUAUGACACAAUGAAAAAAAGAUUCUUCUGCGUAUAGUUUGACCUACAUUAACUAAACAUUAGAUUUACUGAGAAUUUGACGACGCUUAAUUCUUAGAACGCCGUCAUGCUUUGUGAACCAUGAGUUAAAAUUAAGUACCUAUCAAUAAUGUCGGUUUAUGUUGUUCUUUUUAAUUUGCAAAUAAAAUUAUAUACAA
rnacentral:sRNA from 1 species